rnacentral:rRNA from 1 species
AGGACCUGCCUCAAAGAGGGGGACAACAGUGGAAACGACUGCUAAUACCGCAUAAGCCCACGACCCGGCAUCGGGUUGAGGGAAAAGGAGCAAUCCACUUUGAGAUGGCCUCGCGUCCGAUUAGCUGGUUGGUGAGGUAACGGCCCACCAAGGCGACGAUCGGUAGCCGGACUGAGAGGUUGAACGGCCACAUUGGGACUGAGACACGGCCCAGACUCCUACGGGAGGCAGCAGUGGGGAAUAUUGCACAAUGGGGGAAACCCUGAUGCAGCGACGCCGCGUGGAGGAAGAAGGUCUUCGGAUUGUAAACUCCUGUUGUUGAGGAAGAUAAUGACGGUACUCAACAAGGAAGUGACGGCUAACUACGUGCCAGCAGCCGCGGUAAAACGUAGGUCACAAGCGUUGUCCGGAAUUACUGGGUGUAAAGGGAGCGCAGGCGGGAAGACAAGUUGGAAGUGAAAUCUAUGGGCUCAACCCAUAAACUGCUUUCAAAACUGUUUUUCUUGAGUAGUGCAGAGGUAGGCGGAAUUCCCGGUGUAGCGGUGGAAUGCGUAGAUAUCGGGAGGAACACCAGUGGCGAAGGCGGCCUACUGGGCACCAACUGACGCUGAGGCUCGAAAGUGUGGGUAGCAAACAGGAUUAGAUACCCUGGUAGUCCACACCGUAAACGAUGAUUACUAGGUGUUGGAGGAUUGACCCCUUCAGUGCCGCAGUUAACACAAUAAGUAAUCCACCUGGGGAGUACGACCGCAAGGUUGAAACUCAAAGGAAUUGACGGGGGCCCGCACAAGCAGUGGAGUAUGUGGUUUAAUUCGACGCAACGCGAAGAACCUUACCAAGUCUUGACAUCCUGCGACGCACAUAGAAAUAUGUGUUUCCUUCGGGACGCAGAGACAGGUGGUGCAUGGUUGUCGUCAGCUCGUGUCGUGAGAUGCUGGGUUAAGUCCCGCAACGAGCGCAACCCUUACUGUCAGUUACUACGCAAGAGGACUCUGGCAGGACUGCCGUUGACAAAACGGAGGAAGGUGGGGAUGACGUCAAAUCAUCAUGCCCUUUAUGACUUGGGCUACACACGUACUACAAUGGCGUUAAACAAAGAGAAGCAAGACCGCGAGGUGGAGCAAAACUCAGAAACAACGUCCCAGUUCGGACUGCAGGCUGCAACUCGCCUGCACGAAGUCGGAAUUGCUAGUAAUCGUGGAUCAGCAUGCCACGGUGAAUACGUUCCCGGGCCUUGCACUCACCGCCCGU